GUGCCGCACGUAGGGCGCCCGGGCGCGUGGCGCGGGUGCCGGGAGCGCACCAGACUCCGCGUCCCCAGCCAACCUCCGGGAGAAAGGUGGCGGCGGGGAGGGGAGGGUUGAGCCCACGCCGGGGCGUUGCGGCGACUUCGUCGGGGUGCUGCGGCUGCCGCGGCCCCGCCUCAGCGCCAGGGGACCCGCUGGCCUGAGCGCGCCCCCGGACCGCGCCGGACUCUUUUUUAUUCCUACCCAAUUCUGCAGGGGAACGCACUUUACUUCGGCUUUACCGACGGGGAAACCGAGGCUCGGGAAAGAGCUUUACUCAAAGCCACCGACUCAUAAGUGGGAAUGCCAUCUGAGUGACCUCGCUUCGGUUUCGACUGUGUAAGCUGCAUUCCACAUUUCACAUUCCACUCCGGUCCGAAUGUUCCUGAACAUUUGCAGCGCUGCUAAGGAAACCUGUCACAUGCUGGCUUACUUGGGCUGAUACCCACCGGACCCUCUCAGGACAUCCUGAUGCCGGCAAAGCCUCGGAGUUUAACUGGUCAUCUCGCAUUGACAUCUGGCGAAUGUGCCUCAGAGCUACAAAGGGAACACCCUGGGAACCUUGAGCAUGCCUGUCCAACAUAUCGAUAUUUUUCUGAUUAGACCUGGCACGUUAGAAGUGGCAAGGAUGCUGGAUGCCCAGCGAAGACUUGAGGAUCAGAAGCUAGAAGCAAAUCCUACAAGACUCAGGGGUAUGCAACUUUGGGGAAAUUUUUAGGGGUCCAACAAUCUAGAGUAGGGUGGGUUGUGCCUUCUAGGGUAAAGGCAAGUUAUUUACUUUGUGGCCCCUACGACAGACACCGAGCCACCAGCACUCAAUGAAUCUCUGGAUUUUGAAGGUGGCACAUGCCUCCCUUGGAAAUAGGGCUCCAAUCUCGUUAGCAAGCGAGUUGGAAGGCUGACAGGUUUGUGUCGGGCUCAGAGCGUGGGAGGAUGCUCUUCUGCAGCAGGUCCAGGCAAUGAUGCAAGGCUCUCUGGUUGGUCAGGGGACCAGAGAGAACCAGAGGAAAUAAGAUGGGAAGACUGGAGACAAGGAGGCAUGAGUCUCCCACGACCCAAGAUGGGGGCAGGCGCCGUGUGUGAAUCAGUAUCUCAGGUCAAUGCCCACCAGAGGCGGUCUACUGUAGCAGAGACGCUGAGCCAUAGAUGCACGCCUAUGGAGUCAGCCUCAGGGACUCAUCCUGUGGAGGUCAGCCUCUGUCCUGGGUCACCUGGGUGUCUGCACCGUGGUCCAGCUGCACGGCUUCCUCUCCCCAAGGCGGACCUAACUUUAUCUUUUGCUGCCUAUCUGACUGGUGAUGAGCCCUUUAUAUGGAACCAUCCUCUGAGGAGACCAACCAGCCUGGUGGAACUAGGGUAUAUUUUAUAUCAUAUAUAUAUAUAUAUUUUGGGUCACUUAGUGGGAGUUGGUGAGAGACAGGGUUGGAAUGUGCGAUUAUAAAGAACUUAAGAUUUUGAUUCUGGAAAAAUAUGCUGGACUCUCUUUCCCCUGCUCCCCUAUUCUAAAAAUAACCUAAUACCGCUCUGAAAAACAAACUGAGGGUUCUAGAGGGGAGGGGGGUGGGGGGAUGGGUUAGCCUGGUGAUGGGUAUUAAAGAGGGCACGUUCUGCGUGGA